rnacentral:rRNA from 1 species
UGAGGAAUAUUGGUCAAUGGGCGAGAGCCUGAACCAGCCAAGUAGCGUGCAGGAUGACGGCCUUAUGGGUUGUAAACUGCUUUUAUAUGGGAAUAAAGUGAGGGACGUGUCCCUUAUUGCAUGUACCAUACGAAUAAGGACCGGCUAAUUCCGUGCCAGCAGCCGCGGUAAUACGGAAGGUCCAGGCGUUAUCCGGAUUUAUUGGGUUUAAAGGGAGCGUAGGCUGUUUGUUAAGCGUGUUGUGAAAUGUAAGAGCUCAACUUUUAGAUUGCAGCGCGAACUGGCAGACUUGAGUGCGCACAACGUAGGCGGAAUUCAUGGUGUAGCGGUGAAAUGCUUAGAUAUCAUGACGAACUCCGAUUGCGAAGGCAGCUUACGGGAGCGCAACUGACGCUAAAGCUCGAAGGUGCGGGUAUCGAACAGG